CCCUUAGAUGUCCUGGGCCGCACGCGCGCUACACUGAUGCAUUCAACGAGUGUACCUUGGCCGAGAGGCCUGGGCAACCUUUUAAACGUGCAUCGUGAUAGGGAUAGAUUAUUGCAAUUAUUAAUCUUGAACGAGGAAUUCCUAGUAAACGCAAAUCAUCAAUUUGCAUUGAUUACGUCCCUGCCCUUUGUACACACCGCCCGUCGCUACUACCGAUUGAAUGGCUUAGUGAGCCUUUGGGAUUGGCAGCCAACACCGGCAACGGUAGCUGGCCGCCGAAAACUUAUGCAAACUUGGUCAUUUAGAGGAAGUAAAAGUCGUAACA
rnacentral:rRNA from 1 species